UACGUAGGGUGCGAGCGUUGUCCGGACUUACUGGGCGUAAAGCGUGCGCAGGCGGUGAUGUAAGGCAGGUGUGAAAUCCCCGGGCUUAACCUGGGAACUGCAUUUGUGACUGCAUCGCUGGAGUGCGGCAGAGGGGGAUGGAAUUCCGCGUGUAGCAGUGAAAUGCGUAGAUAUGCGGAGGAACACCGAUGGCGAAGGCAAUCCCCUGGGCCUGCACUGACGCUCAUGCACGAAAGCGUGGGGAGCAAACAGG
rnacentral:rRNA from 1 species